rnacentral:lncRNA from 1 species
UUCAAAUAAGUUAUUAAAACAUUGAAGUGGCCGUGUAACAGAUGAGUUCUCGUCCGAAACCCUGAUACUCCGAAAGAGUUUGUCCAGUUUGUACACGAAGUGCGUCCAGUUUUUGCCGUGACCCUCUCUACUCUUUUGCACAUGCUAUGCGGGUGAUAUGAUGAUACCAUGCCAAGUUUCAACAUUUUCAGGAUUCAUUUUGUAGUAAUUUUCAAUUUCACGGUCAUUUAGCUCUCUAAACAAUUAGGUAAAUGACCGAAAACAACAAAUGAUGUCAGAACAUGUUGGAAAUUGAUGACGUCGCUUUGAAUGCUGCAUACUGAACACAAAAGAAGUCCGGAGUUCAAAUAAGUUAUUAAAACAUUGAAGUGGCCGUGUAACAGACGAGUUCUCGUCCAAAACCCUGAUACUCCGAAAGAGUUUGUCCAGUUUGUACACGAAUUGCGUCCAGUUUUUGCCGUGAACCUCUCUACUCUUUCGCGCAUGCUAUGCGGGUGAUAUGAUGAUACCAUGCCAAGUUUCAACAUUUUCAGGAUUCAUUUUGUAGUGAUUUUCAUUUUCACGGUCAUUUAGCUCUCUAAACAAUUAGGUAAAUGACCGAAAAACAACAAAUGAUGUCAGAACAUGUUGGAAAUUGAUGACGUCGCUUUGAAUGCUGCAUGAACAAAAAAGAAGUCCGGAGUUCAAAUAAGUUAUUAAAACAUUGAAGUGGCCGUGUAACAGACACUGGUAGAAAAAGGGCAUGUUGUCCCGGUUCGUAAGGGCCUUUAGUCCCGGUUCCUGAACCGGGACUAAAGUGUCGGUACUAAUGCCCUGUACCUUUAGUCCCGGUUCAAUCCAGAACCGGGACUGAUGGGCCUCCACGUGGCCUGUGCGCGGAGCCCAGGCAGGAGACCCUUUGGUCCCGGUUGGUGGCACCAACCGGGACCAAUAGGCAUCCACGCGUCAGCAUUUCUGUGGCUGGGGNNNNNNNNNNNNNNNNNNNNNNNNNNNNNNNNNNNNNNNNNNNNNNNNNNNNNNNNNNNNNNNNNNNNNNNNNNNNNNNNNNNNNNNNNNNNNNNNNNNNNNNNNNNNNNNNNNNNNNNNNNNNNNNNNNNNNNNNNNNNNNNNNNNNNNNNNNNNNNNNNNNNNNGGGGUUAAUUUAGGUGUUUCAUAUAUUGUGUUAGCUAGCUAUAAUUAAUAGAGAGAAGUGUCCUCUCUUAUGUCCGUGCUUGGUCGACGCUACGUACUAUACAUACGUAUAGAGAGGACUAGACACGCUAGUUAGCUAGUAAGCAAACGAAGGAAACAGAAGAUCGUCAUGAACAUAUAUGCAUACAGAGAGAAGUGAUAUCGACCACCUCUCCUUCUCCCAGAGAUUGGUCGAACAACAAGUUCACGUAUAUCUAUCCGACACUACCGGCUACAUAUAUACAAUAAUUAUCUCUUACAAAUAUAAUCAUACGGACUCAUGGUCCACAUAGUAUUCUCCGUCUUCAGCGAUCACUUGGUCAAGAAAGAAUGCCGCCAAUUCCUCUUGAAUUGCUCGCAUGCGAGCUGGUGCUAGGAGUUCAUCCCGCUUCCGAAACAUCUAAUUUGAAGAAGGGGGUCAAUACAUAUAUAUAUGAAUGAAUGAAACUCAAUACAAAUGAUGGUAAUAAAAUAAAAUUGUGAAUGUUGUUAUUUACGUACUUCAUAUUGUUCAUCAGAGUACCCGCCCCGCUCACAGGUCGUGUGGCGGAUGGACUCGCAGACGUAGUAUCCACAGAAAUCAUUCCCUUUUUCCUGCCACAACCACUUUACAAGAAUGCUAAAUGGUAUUGAUGAAACUAGCGCUUGAAUCGCUAGGAGAUGCACGGAACAUGCUACUAUAGUACUAUCUUUCGGGUGUCUAAAUUCCAGCUCCUUCGGCAGUCCCGGAACUUUUUUGGUGAAUUUUCUCCAAACCCUGCCGGACAAAUAAAACAAUUACUUGAUAUCAGGAAAUGAACAAAGUUGCUGAUAUGGUGGAUAAUGAUCGAUUUAACUUACUUCUUGAGGAUUUCAGUCAUGUCCGCAUACUCCUGGGGAUCUUUUCAUUUAGAGUCCAAGAUGGUUACUACUCCCUGCUCAAGCCUAAUCUCUAGGAGAAUAUAGUGGAAACUACACACGCAUGCAUAACUCAUCAAUUACAUUACUAUAACCUGGACUAAUAUAUAAGGGAAACCGAAUAUGCACAAGACAGUAACACUCACUUGAAGUUGUAAGGAAAGAGUAUUAUAUCUUUGUUUUCAUUUUUUUGAAUGAUCGUAGCAAGUUGGCCUCGGUAUCUCCGGGACGAUGUUGAACCUCAGUUGCAUCUAUGAGAUAUGUGUUAACGAACCCAAUAUCACCGAUUUGUCUUUUCUUCAAUUCGGUGAUCUUCAUUCUGCAUAAUAUAGUGAGGAUAAUUAUAAAUACAUGCAAUGAAAGAUAUGAGCUAUAUAGAGAGACUUAAUGACAGAAGUAGUAGUACUUACAGACAGUAGCAGGUGAUCGUUGUUUUAUCGAGGGCCAAUUGAUUGAAAAACUGAUAGAACUCCUCAAAUGGAAUAGGCAACAGUUCAAUUCCAAUGAGGUCAUGCUCCGGUUUAACUCUCGCAUACAAAGUACUCCUCCCCCCAGACUCUCUGCAGAUUUUCAAGUACCAAUCAUGUAAUCUUCGCAUCAUUGUUGUUAAAGAUUUUUCAUCUUUGACGAGAGGCUUCCCAUACUCGUAUCUGUGUAUCUGCACCUCCAUGGGAUCAUAAUGUACAUCGUCGGGCAGGUAAUCGUCAACAUUGCCAUAACCGGGCACCAUCCUCGGAUCGACAAUGUCGCUAGGCACCUUGAGGGGGGGGGGGCACGAUUGCUUCGCUUGUUCGCCGAGCUGGGCAAUUUGUUUCCCAGCUGAUCGUCGUUCUUUCAGCCUUUAAUCACUGAUUGUACUUCCCGACCGCUCCGCUUCGGCCCAUGUCUUUGCAAUAAUGCGCUCAUAGUUGCCUUUCGGCGGAGACUUGGGUGGUUUUGCCAGGGCAGCCAGAGUGCGCUUCACUUUCACCGGAUCUACCUUCUCCUCCGGAGGUGGAUGUCUCUUUGCUCUCAACCCUUGAAACCAGUCAUCCACUUCGGUUCGCGCGAUCUCGGCGUUCUCCUCCGGGGUCCUCUCAUAUGGUAACUUCUCUGGAGUCUUCAGAGAAGGACCGAAUCUGUAUGUCCUCCCGCCUCUGGUUGUACUGCUAGACGCCGAUUGAGCAGACGGAGCGGUUGUCUUCUUUACUUGCUUACGAGGCAGAGGACAAGGACUAUGACGCGCCGGAGCAGCUGGAGCGGUGGCAGGUCUCUUCCGCCCUUGCUGACGAGGCAGAGAAGGAGGAGGCUGGCUGCUCGGGCGCGUCGGCGCAGGCGGAGAAGGAGGCGGAGUUCCACCACGCGCCGGAGAAGGAGCCGGCCGAGGGCCCUGAUCAUCACUCUCCGGAGGAGGAGGCGGUGGAGGAGGCGGAGUUCCCUGACUCGCCGGAGGAGGAGGAGGAGGCGGAGGCGUCUAGUUCGGAAGGUUGAUGAGCUCCUUCCGCCAUAGGCAUGGAUUCUUCAGAGCAGACCCCAGCCGAGUCUCCCCUUCACCGGUAGGGUGGUCAAGUUGGAGGUCCUCAAAUCCCUCCGUUAUUUCAUCCACCAUCACCCUAGCAUAUCCUUCUGGAAUCGGCCAGCAGUGAAAAGUUGCGCCGGGUUCAGUAGGAUAAAUAGAGCCAACAGCCGCCUUGACCUUCAAAUUCAUCCAUUGCGUCAUAAGGUGGCAAUUUUGAGACUCCGUGAUAGCAUCCACGGGAUAGCUGGCAGGAGCCAUUAAGGCAUGCUCUGGCUGAAGCAGCACGGUGGAAGCCACGCUGCUUCUGCGCUGAGAGGGCGGGGUAGCUUCGGGGGAGGCUUCGGCAGUAUGUUUGCUGCGAUUUGCUUCUCGUUCCUCUAUCGCGUCUACCCUUGCUUGCAGCGCCUGCAUUUGGGUCUGCUGCACUUUUUCCUCCUCUCAUGGGAUUUGUAACCGACUGCUUCCGGAAACCCAACCUUCCACGGAAUGGAGCCUGGCGUGCCUCGUGUCCGUCCAAGGUGCUCAGGAUUCCCGAGGGCCAUUAUGAGCUCGUCGUUCUCUCUGUCUGGAAAGAACUUCCCUUGCUGCGCUGCUUCGAUAUACUGCUUAAGCUUCCUGACUAGUAUGUCCAUUUGAUCGUUCGUCCAAAUGCACUUCCCUGUUACAGGGUCCAAGGUUCCGCCAGCCCCGAAGAACCAAGUCCGGCAACGGUCUGGCCAGCUAAUUGUCUCUGGUUCGAUCCCUUUAUCAACCAGAUCAUUCUCAGUAUUGUCCCACUUAGGCCGGGCUACGAGGUAGCCACAUGACCCCGUGCGAUGGUGAAGCAUCUUCUUCGCAGCAUUUUGCUUGUUUGUCGCCGACAUCUUCUUACUCUUUUCCGAUGUCUUGUGGGCCACAAAUGCGGGCCAGUGAUCUCUGAUCUUCUCAUAUCUGCCCUUGAAUUCUGGUGUCUCAUUAUUUUCGACAAACUUAUUCAGCUCUUUCUUCCACCUCCUGAAUAGUUCUACCAUCCUCUUAAGAGCAAAAGACUUGAUUAAUUGGUCUUUAACUGGGUUCUCUGGAUUAUCCUCUGGCGGUAGGGUGAAAUUUGACUUCAGCUCAGUCCAAAGAUCAUUUUUCUGCAUAUCAUUGACAUAAGACACCUCAGGGUCUUCUGUAGCCGGCUUAAACCAUUGCUGGAUGCUUAUCGAGAUCUUGUCCCUAACCAGAACCCCGCACUGAGCAACAAACGCGCUCUUUGUCCGGAGGGGUUCAACCGGUUGGCCGUCGGGCGCGAUUGCUAUGAUCUCAAACUUUUCAUCCGAGCUCAACUUUUUCUUCGGGCCUCGUCUCUUUACCGAAGUUGUGCUCGAUCCGGGGGGCUAGAAAAAAGAACAAAUACUUAAUUAAUAUGUGUACAUACCAAAACAAUGAAUGCAUCAAUCAGCUAGUCAGCACAGGCUUAACUAAUAUAUAUACCUGGCCGGACUCGGUUCGGUCACCGGAGCCGUCAUCAUGGUCUCCUUCUUGCACCGGCAUUGGGUCACCGGAGCCGUCCUCAUGUUCUUCUUGCACCGGCAUUAGGUCACCGUAGCCAGCUUGUUCACCCUCUCCUUCCAGACCAUCGGUGUCGUUGAGAAACAACGAGACGACAUCACUUCCUUUUGCGAUUAUGUCCCUCAACAACGCUUCUUUUGCUUCGUCUAGGGCGGUGUCCAUAGUUUCUACAAAUAUUUACAACAUGGCAAUUAUUAUUCAAACAUGACAGAUGGAUAUAUUAGUGCCAAACGUAGAACUAGCUACCUAAUCAUAGUAAGGAAUCAUAUAUAUUAAUUAGUGGCCUCGACCCCCCCCACGUGUUGAAGCUAUCGGGAGGGGGUAUAUAUCGACAACGACGACACUACAUCUAUAUGUCCCUCGACGACCCUCGUUCCCGAUAAAAAAGAGGAAGAAGAAGAAAAAAAAGAGGAGAAGAAAGAAUAGAGGAGAAGAACUCCUCUAUUCUUUCUUCUCCUCUUUUUUUUCUUCUUCCUCUUCUUUUUUUAUCCUGUUCUUCCUCUCAUGUUCGAGAGGAUCGUCGAGGGGUCGGAAGUUUGCCUAGUGUCAAAGGAUUCAACAAAACCAUGUCUUCAUAAUUAGGCGAAAGUAACAUGUGCAUGAUGGUACAAAUCUCUCCAAAGUUAUUUUGGAACGGAGUCCCAGAUAAGAUAAUUCGCUUUUUGGUACAAAGUUCAGCAACACCUUCCAAAUAUCGUUAUUUGGAAGGCCUUUGCUGAAAUUCAUACAAAAAGGCAAAUUAUCCUAUCCGGGACACCUUUCCAAAUAGCUUUGGAGGACUUCGUCAUGCCCUGGUUACUUCCGGCUAAUGAUGAAGCCAUGCAUUUCUUCAAUACUUUGACACUAGGAAACCUCUCUCGACCCCUCGGCGAUCCUCGACCCCUCGAACCCUCGACGACCCUAGAACCCUCGACCCCUAGACGACCCUGGAACCCUCGACCCUCGAUCCCUAGACCCUAUAGAACCCUCGAACCCUCGAACCCUCGACCCUGAAAUCCUCGACCCUUGACCCCUUAACGACCCUCGACCCUCUACCCUAGUUCCCGACCCUCGACCCCUCGGCGAUCCUCGACACCCUCGUCCCUGAUAAAAAUUAAGAAUAAGAAGAAGAAGAAGAAGAAAAGAGGAGAAGAAGAAAGGAAUAGCUAGAGGAGAAGAUGUUGGGGAACAUAGUAAUUUCAAAAAAAUUCCUACGUACACGCAAGAUCAUGGUGAUGCAUAGCAACGAGAGGGGAGAGUGUGAUCUACAUACCUAGUAGAUCGACAACGGAAGCAUUUGGUUGAUGUAGUCGUACGUCUUCACGAUCCGACCGAUCAAGCACCGAAACUAUGGCACCUCCGAGUUCUAGCACACGUUCAGCUCGAUGACGAUCCCCGGACUCUGAUCCAGCAAAGUGUCGGGGAAGAGUUCCGUCAGCACGACGGCGUGGUGACAAUCUUGAUGUACUACUGCAGCAGGGCUUCGCUUAAACUCCGCUACAAUAUUAUCGAGGACUAUGGUGGAAGGGGGCACCGCACACGGCUAAGAAUAUGAUCACGUGGAUCAACUUGUGUGUCUCUAGGGUGCCUCUGCCUCAGUAUAUAAAGGACCAAAGGGGGGAGGCUGGCCGGCCACAUAGGGCGCGCCAGGAGAGUCCUACUCCCUCUGGGAGUAGGAUUCCCCACCCCCCCAAUCCUAGUUGGAAUAGGACUCGCGGAGGGGGGAAAAGACAGAGAGGGGCCGGCCCCCUCUCCUUGUCCAAUUCGGACCAAGGGAGGGGAGGGGCGUGCGGCCCACUAUAGGCUGCCUCUUCUCUUUUCCACUAAGGCCCAUUAAGGCCCAUCUAGCUCCCGGGGGGUUUCGGUAACCUCCCGGUACUCCGGUAAAAUCCCGAUUUCACCCGGAAUACUUCCGAUAUCCAAACAUAGGCUUCCAAUAUAUCAAUCUUUAUAUCUCGACCAUUUCGAGACUCCUCAUCAUGUCCAUGAUCACAUCCGGGACUCCAAACAACCUUCGGUACAUCAAAAUGCAUAAACUCAUAAUAUAAUUGUCAUCAUAACCUUAAGCGUGCGGACCCUACAGGUUCGAGAACAAUGUAGACAUGACCGAGACAUGUCUCCGGUCAAUAACCAACAGCGGGACCUGGAUGCCCAUAUUGGCUCCUACAUAUUCUACGAAGAUCUUUAUUGGUCAGACCGCAUAACAACAUACGUUGUUCCCUUUGUCAUCGGUAUGUUACUUGCACCAGAUUCGAUCGUCGGUAUUCCAAUACCUAGUUCAAUCUCGUUACCGGCAAGUCUCUUUACUCAUUCUGUAAUACAUCAUCCCGCAACUAACUCAUUAGUUGCAAUGCUUGCAAGGCUUAAGUGAUGUGCAUUACCGAGAGGGCCCAGAGAUACCUCUCCGACAAUCGGAGUGACAAAUCCUAAUCUCGAAAUAUGCCAACUCAACAUGUACCUUUGGAGACACCUAUAGAGCUCCUUUAUAAUCACCCAGUUACGUUGUGACGUUUGGUAGCACACAAAGUGUUCCUCCGGCAGACGGGAGUUGCAUAAUCUCAUAGUCAUAGGAACAUGUAUAAGUCAUGAAGAAAGCAAUAGCAACAUACUAAACGAUCGGGUGCUAAGCUAAUGGAAUGGGUCAUGUCAAUCAGAUCAUUCACUUAAUGAUGUGAUCCCGUUAAUCAAAUAACAACUCAUUGUUCAUGGUUAGGAAACAUAACCAUCUUUGAUUAACAAGCUAAUUAAGUAGAGGCAUACUAGUGACACUUUGUUUGUCUAUGUAUUCACACAUGUAUUAUGUUUCCGGUUAAUACAAUUCUAGCAUGAAUAAUAAACAUUUAUCAUGAUAUAAGGAAAUAAAUAAUAACUUUAUUAUUGCCUCUAGGGCAUAUUUCCUUCAGUCUCCCACUUGCACUAGAGUCAAUAAUCUAGAUUACACAGCAAUGAUUCUAACACCCAUGGAGCCUUGGUGCUGAUCAUGUUUUGCUCGUGGAAGAGGCUUAGUCAACGGGUCUGCAACAUUCAGAUCCGUAUGUAUCUUGCAAAUCUCUAUGUCUCCCACCUGGACUAGAUCCCGGGUGGAAUUGAAGCGUCUCUUGAUGUGCUUGAUUCUCUUGUGAAAUCUGGAUUCCUUUGCCAAGGCAAUUGCACCAGUAUUGUCACAAAAGAUUUUCAUUGGACCUGAUGCACUAGGUAUGACACCUAGAUCGGAUAUGAACUCCUUCAUCCAGACUCCUUCAUUUGCUGCUUCCGAAGCAGCUAUGUACUCCGCUUCACAUGUAGAUCCCGCUACAACGCUUUGUUUAGAACUGCACCAACUGACAGCUCCACCGUUUAAGGUAAACACGUAUCCGGUUUGCGAUUUAGAAUCGUCUGGAUCAGUGUCAAAGCUUGCAUCAACGUAACCUUUUACAAUGAGCUCUUUGUCACCUCCAUAUAUGAGAAACAUAUCCUUAGUCCUUUUCAGGUACUUCAGGAUGUUCUUGACCGCUGUCCUGUGAUCCACUCCUGGAUUACUUUGGUACCUCCCUGCUAGACUUAUAUCAAGGCACACAUCAGGUCUGGUACACAGCAUUGCAUACAUGAUAGAGCCUAUGGCCGAAGCAUAGGGAACAUCUUUCAUAUUCUCUCUAUCUUCUGCAGUGGUCGGGCAUUGAGUCUUACUUAACUUCACACCUUGUAACACAGGCAAGAACCCUUUCUUUGCUUGAUCCAUUUUGAACUUCUUCAAAACUUUGUCAAGGUAUGUGCUUUGUGAAAGUCCAAUUAAGCGUCUUGAUCUAUCUCUAUAGAUCUUAAUGCCUAAUAUGUAAGCAGCUUCACCGAGGUCUUUCAUUGAAAAACUCUUAUUCAAGUAUCCCUUUAUGCUAUCCAGAAAUUCUAUAUCAUUUCCAAUUAGUAAUAUGUCAUCUACAUAUAAUAUCAGAAAUGCUAUAGAGCUCCCACUCACUUUCUUGUAAAUACAGGCUUCUCCAAAAGUCUGUAUAAAACCAAAUGCUUUGAUCACACUAUCAAAACGUUUAUUCCAACUCCGAGAGGCUUGCACCAGUCCAUAAAUGGAUCGCUGGAGCUUGCACACUUUGUUAGCUCCCUUUGGAUCGACAAAACCUUCUGCUUGCAUCAUAUACAACUCUUCUUCCAGAAAUCUAUUCAGGAAUGCAGUUUUGAGAUCCAUCUGCCAAAUUUCAUAAUCAUAAAAUGCGGCAAUUGCUAACAUGAUUCGGACAGACUUAAGCAUCGCUACGAGUGAGAAGGUCUCAUCGUAGUCAAUCCCUUGAACUUGUCGAAAACCUUUUGCGACAAGUCGAGCUUUGUAGAUAGUAAUAUUACCGUCAGCGUCAGUCUUCUUGUUGAAGAUCCAUUUAUUCUCAAUUGCUUGCCGAUCAUUGGGCAAGUCAACCAAAGUCCAUACUUUGUUCUCAUACAUGGAUCCCAUCUCAGAUUUCAUGGCUUCAAGCCACUUUGCGGAAUCUGGGCUCACCGCCGCUUCUUUAUAGUUCGUAGGUUCAUCAUGAUCUAGUAGCAUGACUUCCAUAACGGGAUUGCCGUACCACUCUGGCGCGGAUCUUACUCUGGUUGAUCUACGAGGUUCAAUAGUAUCUUGUUCUGAAGUUUCAUGAUCAUCAUCAUUAGCUUCCUCACUAACUGAUGUAGGUGUCACAGAAACGGUUUUCUGUGAUGUACUACUUUCCAAUAAGGGAGCGGGUACAGUUACCUCGUCAAGUUCUACUUUCCUCCCACUCACUUCUUUCGAGAGAAACUCCUUCUCCAGAAAGUUUCCGAAUUUAGCAACAAAAGUCUUGCCUUCGGAUCUGUGAUAGAAGGUGUAUCCAAUAGUCUCCUUUGGAUAUCCUAUGAAGACACAUUUCUCUGAUUUGGGUUCGAGCUUAUCAGGUUGAAGUUUUUUCACAUAAGCAUCGCAGCCCCAAACUUUCAGAAACGACAACUUUGGUUUCUUGCCAAACCACAGUUCAUAAGGCAUCGUCUCAACGGAUUUUGAUGGUGCCCUAUUUAACGUGAAUGCGGCCAUCUCUAGAGCGUAUCCCCAAAACGAUAGCGGUAAAUCAGUAAGAGACAUCAUAGAUCGCACCAUAUCUAGUAAAGUACGAUUACGACGUUCGGAGACACCAUUACGCUUGUGGUGUUCCGGGUGGCGUGAGUUGCGAAACUAUUCCACAAUUUUUCAAAUGUACACCAAACUCGUAACUCAAAUAUUCUCCUCCACGAUCAGAUCGUAUAAACUUUAUUUUCUUGUUACGAUGAUUUUCAACUUCACUCUGAAACUCUUUGAACUUUUCAAACGUUUCAGACUUAUGUUUCAUUAAGUAGAUAUACCCAUACCUGCUUAAGUCAUCUGUGAAGGUGAGAAAAUAACGAUAUCCGCCACGAGCCUCAAUAUUCAUCGGACCACAUACAUCCGUAUGUAUGAUUUCCAACAAAUCUUUGCUCUCUCCAUAGUACGGGAGAACGGUGUUUUUGUCAUCUUGCCCAUGAGGCACGGUUCGCAAGUACCAAGUGAUUCAGAAUCAAGUGGUUCCAAAAGUCCAUCAGUAUGGAGUUUCUUCAUGCGCUUUACACCGAUAUGACCUAAACGGCAGUGCCACAAAUAUGUUGCACUAUCAUUAUCAACUCUGCAGCUUUUGGCUUCAACACUAUGAAUAUGUGUGUUACUACUAUCGAGAUUCAACAAGAAUAGACCACUCUUCAAGGGUGCAUGACCAUAAAAGAUAUUACUCAUAUAAAUAGAACAACCAUUAUUCUCUGAUUUAAAUGAAUAACCGUCUCGCAUCAAACAAGAUCCAGAUAUAAUGUUCAUGCUUAACGCUGGCACCAAAUAACAAUUAUUUAGGUAUAAUAUUAAUCCCGAAGGUAGAUGUAGAGGUAGCGUGCCGACCGCGAUCACAUCGACUUUGGAACCGUUUCCCACGCGCAUCGUCACCUUGUCCUUAGCCAAUCUUUCGCUUAAUCCAUAGUCCCUGUUUCGAGUUGCAAAUAUUAGCAACAGAACCAGUAUCAAAUACCCAGGUGCUACUGCGAGCAUUAGUAAGGUACACAUCAAUAACAUGUAUAUCACAUAUACCUUUGUUCACCUUGCCAUCCUUCUUAUCCGCCAAAUACUUGGGGCAGUUCCGCUUCCAAUGACCAGUCUGCUUGCAAUAGAAGCACUCAGUUUCAGGCUUAGGUCUAGGUUUGGGUUUCUUCUCUUGAGUAGCAACUUGCUUGCCGUUCUUUUUGAAGUUUCCCUUCUUCUUCCCUUUGCCCUUUUUCUUGAAACUAGUGGUCUUGUUGACCAUCAACACUUGAUGCUCCUUCUUGAUUUCUACCUCCGCAGCUUUCAGCAUUGAGAAGAGCUCGGGAAUAGUCUUAUUCAUCCCUUGCAUAUUAUAGUUCAUCACGAAGCUCUUGUAGCUUGGUGUCAGUGAUUGGAGAAUUCUGUCAAUGGCACAAUCAUCUGGAAGAUUAACUCCCAGUUGAAUCAAGUGAUUAUUAUACCCAGACAUUUUGAGUAUAUGCUCACUGACAGAACUUAUUGGAGACUUCAUAUCUCUCAAUCCAGGCAUUUGCUUGAAAUAUUAACUUCAACUCUUGGAACAUCUCAUAUGCUCCAUGACGUUCAAAACGUCGUUGAAGUCCCGAUUCUAAGCCGUAAAGCAUGGCACACUGAACUAUUGAGUAGUCAUCAGCUUUGCUCUGCCAGACGUUCAUAACAUCCGGCGUUGCUCCUGCAGCAGGCCUGGCACCCAGCGGUGCUUCCAGGACGUAAUUCUUCUCUGCAGCAAUGAGGAUAAUCCUCAAGUUACGGACCCAGUCCAUGUAAUUGCUACCAUCAUCUUUCAACUUUGCUUUCUCAAGGAACGCACUAAAAUUCAACGGAACAACAGCACGAGCCAUCUAUCUACAAACAAGCAUAAACAAGCAAGAUACUAAUCAAGUACUAAGUUUCAUGAUAAAUUUAAGUUCAUUAAUUUACUUAAAGAACUCCCACUUAGAUAAACAUCCCUCUAAUCCUUUAAGUGAUUACGUGAUCCAAAUCAACUAAACCAUGUCCGGUCAUCACGUGAGAUGGAGUAGUUUCAUUGGUGAACAUCACUAUGUUGAUCAUAUCUACUAUAUGAUUCACGCUCGACCUUUCGGUCUCCGUGUUCCGAGGCCAUAUCUGUAUAUGCUUGGCUCGUCAAGUUUAACCUGAGUAUUCCGCGUGUGCAACUGUUUUGCACCCGCUGUAUUUGAACCUAGAGCCUAUCACACCCGAUCAUCACGUGGUGUCUCAGCACGAAUAACUUUCGCAACGGUGCAUACUCAGGGAGAACACUUCUUGAUAAUUAGUGAGAGAUCAUCUUAUAAUUCUACCGUCAAUCAAAGCAAGAUAAUAUGCGUAAAAAGAUAAACAUCACAUGCAAUCAAUAUAAGUGAUAUGAUAUGGCCAUCAUCAUCUUGUGCUUGUGAUCUCCAUCUCCGAAGCACCGUCGUGAUCACCAUCGUCACCGGCGUGACACCUUGAUCUCCAUCGUAGCAUCGUUGUCGUCUCGCCAAGCUUGUGCUUCCACGACUAUCGCUACUGCUUAGUGAUAAAGUAAAGCAUUACAUCGCGAUUGCAUUGCAUACAAUAAAACGAAAACCAUAAGGCUCCUGCCAGUUGCCGAUAACUCGGUUACAAAACAUGAUCAUCUCAUACAAUAAAAUCAGCAUCAUGUCUUGACCAUAUCACAUCACAACAUGCCCUGCAAAAACAAGUUAGACGUCCUCUACUUUGUUGUUGCAAGUUUUACGUGGCUGCUACGGGCUUAAGCAAGAACUAAUCUUACCUACACAUCUAAACCACAACGAUAGUUUGACAAGUUGGUGUUGUUUUAACCUUCGCAAGGACCGGGCGUAGCCACACUCGAUUCAACUAAAGUUGGAGAAACUGUCACCCGCAAGCCACCUAUGUGCAAAGCACGUCGGGAGAACCGGUCUCGCGUAAGCGUACGCGUAAUGUCGAUCCGGGACGCUUCGUCCAACAAUACCGCCGAACCAAAGUAUGACAUGCUGGUAAGCAGUAUGACUUAUAUCGCCCACAACUCACUUGUGUUCUACUCGUGCAUAUAACAUCAACAUAUAAAACCUAGGCUCGGAUGCCACUAUUGGGGAACAUAGUAAUUUCAAAAAAAUUCCUACGUACACGCAAGAUCAUGGUGAUGCAUAGCAACGAGAGGGGAGAGUGUGAUCUACAUACCUAGUAGAUCGACAACGGAAGCGUUUGGUUGAUGUAGUCGUACGUCUUCACGAUCCGACCGAUCAAGCACCGAAACUACGGCAACUCCGAGUUCUAGCACACGCUCAGCUUGAUGACGAUCCCCGGACUCCGAUCCAGCAAAGUGUCGGGGAAGAGUUCCGUCAGCACGACGGCGUGGUGACGAUCUUGAUGUACUACUGCAACAGGGCUUCGCUUAAACUCCGCUACAAUAUUAUCGAGGACUAUGGUGGAAGGGGGCAGCGCACACGGCUAAGAAUAUGAUCACGUGGAUCAACUUGUGUGUCUCUAGGGUGCCUCUGCCUCAGUAUAUAAAGGACCAAAGGGGGGGAGGCUGGCCGGCCACAUAGGGCGCGCUAGGAGAGUCCUACUCCCUCUGGGAGUAGGAUUCCCCCCCCCCCCAAUCCUAGUUGGAAUAGGACUCGCAUAGGGGGGAAAAGAGAGAGAGGGGCCGGCCCCCUCUCCUUGUCCAAUUCGGACCAAGGGAGGGGAGGGGCGCGCGGCCCACUAUGGGCUGCCUCUUCUCUUUUCCACUAAGGCCCAUUAAGGCCCAUCUAGCUCCCGGGGGGUUCCGGUAACCUCCCGGUACUCCGGUAAAAUCCCGAUUUCACCCGGAACACUCCCGAUAUCCAAACAUAGGCUUCCAAUAUAUCAAUAUUUAUGUCUCGACCAUUUCGAGACUCCUCGUCAUGUCUGUGAUCACAUCCGGGACUCCGAACAACCUUCGGUACAUCAAAAUGCAUAAACUCAUAAUAUAAUUGUCAUCGUAACCUUAAGCGUGUGGACCCUGCGGGUUCGAGAACAAUGUAGACAUGACCGAGACAUGUCUCCGGUCAAUAACCAACAGCGGGACCUGGAUGCCCAUAUUGACUCCUACAUAUUCUACGAAGAUCUUUAUCGGUCAGACCGCAUAACAACAUACGUUGUUCCCUUUGUCAUCGGUAUGUUACUUGCACGAGAUUCGAUCAUCGGUAUUCCAAUACCUAGUUCAAUCUCGUUACCGGCAAGUCUCUUUACUCGUUUUGUAGUACAUCAUCCCGGAACUAACUCAUUAGUUGCAAUGCUUGCAAGGCUUAUGUGAUCUGCAUUACCGAGAGGGCCCAGAGAUACCUCUCCGACAAUCGGAGUGACAAAUCCUAAUCUCGAAAUACGCCAACCCAACAUGUACCUUUGGAGACACCUGUAUAGCUCCUUUAUAAUCACCCAGUUACGUUGUGACGUUUGGUAGAACACAAAGUGUUCCUCCGGAAAACGGGAGUUGCAUAAUCUCAUAGUCAUAGGAACAUGUAUAAGUCAUGAAGAAAGCAAUAGCAACAUACUAAACGAUCGGGUGCUAAGCUAAUGGAAUGGGUCAUGUCAAUCAGAUCAUUCACUUAAUGAUGUGAUCCCGUUAAUCAAAUAACAACUCAUUGUUCAUGGUUAGGAAACAUAACCAUCUUUGAUUAACGAGCUAGUCAAGUAGACGCAUACUAGUGACACUUUGUUUGUCUAUGUAUUCACACAUGUAUUAUGUUUCCGGUUAAUACAAUUCUAGCAUGAAUAAUAAAUAUUUAUCAUGAUAUAUGGAAAUAAAUAAUAACUUUAUUAUUGCCUCUAGGGCAUAUUUCCUUCAGAAGAUCGAAGAAAAAAAGAAGAAAAAAAAGAGGAGAAGAAGAAAGGAAUAGUGGAGAAGAAGAGAAAACAUAAUAUUCUAUUUUCUCUUCCUCUCCACUAUUCCUUUCUUAUUCUCCUCUUCGUUUUCUUCUUUUUUCUUCUUCUUAUUUAUUUCUCCUCUUCUUUUCCUCUCCUCUUCUUCUUUAUUUCCUCUUCUUAUUUUCUUCUUUCCUAUCCUUCUUUUUCUAAAAUUGUAACUUUUGCAUAUAUAAAACUUUUCUAAAAUUGUAACUUUCUAUAUAAAACUUUCCUAUCGGGAGGGGGUUAUAUCAACCCCCCCUCGUGUUGAAGAAAACGAAGAAGAAAUAAAAAGAGGAGAAGAAGAAAGGAAUAGAGAAGAUCGAAGAAAAAAAAGAGGAGAAGAAGAAGAAAGGAAUAGAGGAGAAGAAGAAAAAAUAUAAAUUAGAAGAAGAAAGGAAUAGAGGAGAAGAAGAAAAAAUAGAAAUUUUUUCUAUUUUUUCUUCUUCUCCUCUUCCUUUUCUUCCUCUCCUUUUUCCUCUUAUUAUUUUCCUUUUUCCUCUCCUAAAUAUAUAAAACCUUUCUAAAAAUGAAAGUAACCUAAAAUGUACUAAAUCAGAGAACAUAUAUAGAUAAUCCUUUUCUAAAUAUUUAAACCAAACUUUUGCAUAUAUGAACAUAUAUACACAGAGAACAUAAAAACAUAUAUACUCUUUUACAACCACAAAAAUUACUCCAACUUCAUGACAGUACCCACACUCCAUUUCACCAAAAACCUUCUGAUCCAUAGUUUAAAUUUUUUCAAUUUCAUUCAAAUGAAAUUUGAACUAGAUUCAAAUUCCUUGCUGAAAACCUAUUCUAAACCAAUCAAAAAAUUCUGAAAUUUUGCCAUCACCUUAGUCUUGCAUCAGUACCUACCACAAAAAAUAUCAUAAAUCCUAAAAAUGCCCAAAGCCAUCUAGCAUUUGAUCAAACACCCUCUAUAUGCACUGUUCAUAUCUGUAAAAAAAAUUCAGACAUUUCAGAAAAGUUUGCUGUUGCUCCACUCCUUCUCCUCUCCUCUCCUUCUGCUCUUCAAUGCAUCGGGGCCAGCGGCGACCAUGGAGCUGCAGGGGCAGAGAGCAAGGGCCGCACUCGAUCGGGACCAUGGGAAAGGGGGGGGCUCANNNNNNNNNNNNNNNNNNNNNNNNNNNNNNNNNNNNNNNNNNNNNNNNNNNNNNNNNNNNNNNNNNNNNNNNNNNNNNNNNNNNNNNNNNNNNNNNNNNNNNNNNNNNNNNNNNNNNNNNNNNNNNNNNNNNNNNNNNNNNNNNNNNNNNNNNNNNNNNNNNNNNNNNNNNNNNNNNNNNNNNNNNNNNNNNNNNNNNNNNNNNNNNNNNNNNNNNNNNNNNNNNNNNNNNNNNNNNNNNNNNNNNNNNNNNNNNNNNNNNNNNNNNNNNNNNAGGGGGGCGGCGAUGGCAGGAGUCCGGGACGAGGACGGCGGGCUCGGGGCGGCACGCGGUGACGGGGACGGCACGCGGCCGGCGACAGGGACGGGGAGGGGUGGGCUCGGGGAGGCACGCAGUGACGGGGACGACGAGGACAGGAAGCUCAGGGAUGCCGGCGAUGAGGACGACGCGGGCUCGUGGAGGCGACGAUGUUGGCGGCGGCGGCGUAGACGGCGAGGUGGAGCAGCCUGACGGCAUCGUCGGCGGGGGAGGGGGGAGGGGAGGCAUGCCGUCUUUUUCGUGCAAACGUUGCAGGUCCUCCCGUGCCUCAGGUGUAUCUUUUGUCUUCCCAUACACGCCCAAGAAGCCUAGUAGGUUCACGCAAAGGUUCUUCGUCACGUGCAUCACGUCGAUUGAGGAGCGGACCUCUAGGUCUUUCCAGUAGGGUAGGUCCCAAAAUAUAGAUUUCUUCUUCCACAUGGGUGCAUGUCCCUCAGCGUCAUUCGAAACAGCUAGUCCACCGGGACCCUUUCCAAAGAUUACGUAGUGUAAAUCAUUGACCAUAGCAAGCACGUGAUCACCGGUGCGCAUGGCGGGCUUCUUCCGGUGAUCUGCCUUGCCUUUGAAAUGCUUGCCUUUCUUUCGACAUUGAUGGUUGGUCGGAAGAAAUCUUCGAUGGCCCAGGUACAAAUUCUUCAUGCAUUUGUCCAGGUGUAUACUUUCAGUGUCAUCUAAACAGUGCGUGCAUGCAUGGUAUCCUUUGUUUGUCUGUCCUGAAAGGUUACUGAGAGCGGGCCAAUCGUUGAUGGUCACGAACAGCAACACCUUAAGGUUAAAUUCCUCCUGUCUGUGCUCAUCCCACAUACGUACACCGUUUUCAUUCCACAGCUGUAAAAGUUCUUCAACUAAUGGCCUUAGGUACACAUCAAUUUCGUUGCCGGGUUGCUUAGGGCCUUGGAUGAGAACUGGCAUCAUAAUGAACUUCCGCUUCAUGCACAUCCAAGGAGGAAGGUUAUACAUACAUAGAGUCACGGGCCAGGUGCUAUGACUGCUGCUCUGCUCCCCGAAAGGAUUAAUGCCAUCCGCGCUUAAAGCAAACCAUACAUUCCUUGGGUCCUUUGCAAACUCAUCCCAGUACUUUCUCUCGAUUUUUCUCCACUGCGACCCGUCAGCGGGUGCUCUCAACUUCCCAUCUUUCUUUCGGUUCUCACUGUGCCAUCGCAUCAACUUGGAAUGCUCUUCGUUUCUGAACAGACGUUUCAACCGUGGUAUUAUAGGAGCAUACCACAUCACCUUUGCAGGAACCCUCUUCCUGGGGGGCUCGCCGUCAACAUCACCAGGGUCAUCUCGUCUGAUCUUAUACCACAAUGCACCGCAUACCGGGCAUGCGUUCAGAUCCUUGUAUGCACCGCGGUAGAGGAUGCAGUCAUUAGGGCAUGCAUGUAUCUUCUCCACCUCCAAUCCUAGAGGGCAUACGACCUUCUUUGCUGCGUAUGUACUGUCGGGCAAUUCGUUAUCCUUUGGAAGCUUCUUCUUCAAUAUUUUCAGUAGCUUCUAAAAUCCUUUGUCAGCCACAGCAUUCUCUGUCUUCCACUGCAGCAAUUCCAGUACGGUACCGAGCUUUGUGUUGCCAUCUUCGCAAUUGGGGUAUAACCCUUUUUUGUGAUCCUCUAACAUGCGAUCGAACUUCAGCUUCUCCUUUUGACUAAUGCAUUGCGUCCUUGCAUCGACAAUGACCCGGCGGAGAUCAUCAUCAUCGGGCACAUCGUCUGGUUCCUCUUGAUCUUCAGCAGCUUCACCCGUUGCAGCAUCAUUGGGCACAUCGUCUGGUUCCUCUUGAUCUUCACCAGCUCCCCCCGUUGCAGCAUCACCGUAUUCAAGGGGCACAUAGUUGUCAUUGUAGUCUUCUUCUUCGCCGUCUUCCAUCAUAACCCCUAUUUCUCCGUGCCUCGUCCAAACAUUAUAGUGUGGCAUGAAACCCUUGUAAAGCAGGUGGGAGUGAAGGAUUUUCCGGUUAGAGUAAGACCUCGUAUUCCCACAUUCAGUGCAUGGAAAACACAUAAAACCAUUAUGCUUGUUUGCCUUAGCCGCAUCGAGAAACUCAUGCACGCCCUUAAUGUACUCGCGGGUGUGUCUGUCACCGUACAUCCAUUGCCGGUUCAUCUGCGUGCAUUAUAUAUAAUUAAGUGUCCAAAUUAAUAGAAGUUCAUCAUCACAUUAAAACCAAAGUGCAUACAUAGUUCUCAUCUAACAACAUAUAGCUCUCCAGAGCAUCUAAUUAAUUAAACCAUACAUUGAAACUAUGUAAAACAUUUCAAUGCGAAAACAAAUGCGAUCAUAAUCGCAACCAAGGUAACAAUUGAUCCAACGAUAUAAUGAUACCAAGCCUCGGUAUGAAUGGCAUAUUUUCUAAUCUUUCUAAUCUUCAAGCGCAUUGCAUCCAUCUUGAUCUUGUGAUCAUCGACGACAUCCGCAACAUGCAACUCCAAUAUCAUCUUCUCCUCCUCAAUUUUUUAUAUUUUUUCCUUCCACAAAUUGUUUUCUCCUUCAACUAAAUUUAACCUCUCGACAAUAGGGUCGGUUGGCAUUUCCGAUUCACAUACAUCCUAGAUAAAUAAAAUCUAUGUCACGUUGGUCGGCAUAAUUUUCAUAAACAAUAAAUGAACCAAUAGUUAUAAAGAUAAUAUACAUACCACAUCCGAAUCAUAGACAGGACGAGGGCCGACGGGGGCGGAUACCAAAACCAUCGCACUAUAUAAGAUGCAAUAAUAAAUGUAAGAAAAUGAUACAAGUAUCUAUCUAAACAUACAAGUAAGAAUUUGUUUUCCUUUCAGAAAGAAGAUAAGAACAAGAGGCUCACCACGGUGGUGUCGGUGAUGAGAUCGGCGAGGGUGAUCGACGGCGGUGAAGACGGGGACGGGGCAUGACGGACCGCUAAAUCUAGACAAAUCUCGAGGAAAAUGGAGCUUGGAGGUCGAGCUUCGAGAGGAGAAAGCUUAAUUAGUGUGGCUCGGGCAUUCCAUCAAACACCUCAUGUGCAUAGGAGGUGAGCUAGAGCACCACAAAGCCCUCUCCCCCUCGGCCAGAGAAAAACAGAGCACUGGGGUGCUCUGCUCGCGAGCGAGGGGUAUAUAUAGGCGUCCUGGUUGGUGACAUGAGCCAGGACUAAAGGGGAGCCUUUGGUCCCGGUUCAAGCCACCAAUCGGGACCAAUGGUGGUGGGCCAGGAGCGAGGCCCAUUGGUCCCGGUUCAUCCCACCAACCGGGACCAAAAGGUCCAGAUGAACCGGGACCAAUGGCCCACGUGGCCCGGCCGGCCCCCUGGGCUCACGAACCGGGACCAAUGCCCAUAUUGGUCCCGGUUCUAGACUGAACCGGGACUAAUGGGCUGACCCGGCCUGGACCAAAGCCCUGUUGUCUACUAGUGAGAUGAGUUCUCGCCCGAAAUCCUGAUACUCCAAAAGAGUUUGUCCAGUUUGUACACGAAGUGCGUCCAGUUUUUGCCGUGCCCCUCUCUAGUCUUUCGCGCAUGCUAUGCGGGUGAUAUGAUGAUACCAUGCCAAGUUUCAACAUUUUCAGGAUUCAUUUCGUAGUGAUUUUCAAUUUCACGGUCAUUUAGCUCUCUAAACAAUUAGGUAAAUGACCGAAAAACAACAAAUGAUGUCAGAACAUGUUGGAAAUUGAUGACGUCGCUUUGAAUGCUGCAUACUAAAUACAAAAGAAGUCCGGAGUUCAAAUAAGUUAUUAAAACAUUGAAGUGGCCGUGUAACAGAUGAGUUCUCGUCCGAAACCUUGAUACUCCGAAAGAGUUUGUCCAGUUUGUACAUGAAGUACGUCCAGUUUNNNNNNNNNNNNNNNNNNNNNNNNNNNNNNNNNNNNNNNNNNNNNNNNNNNNNNNNNNNNNNNNNNNNNNNNNNNNNNNNNNNNNNNNNNNNNNNNNNNNNNNNNNNNNNNNNNNNNNNNNNNNNNNNNNNNNNNNNNNNNNNNNNNNNNNNNNNNNNNNNNNNNNNNNNNNNNNNNNNNNNNNNNNNNNNNNNNNNNNNNNNNNNNNNNNNNNNNNNNNNNNNNNNNNNNNNNNNNNNNNNNNNNNNNNNNNNNNNNNNNNNNNNNNNNNNNNNNNNNNNNNNNNNNNNNNNNNNNNNNNNNNNNNNNNNNNNNNNNNNNNNNNNNNNNNNNNNNNNNNNNNNNNNNNNNNNNNNNNNNNNNNNNNNNNNNNNNNNNNNNNNNNNNNNNNNNNNNNNNNNNNNNNNNNNNNNNNNNNNNNNNNNNNNNNNNNNNNNNNNNNNNNNNNNNNNNNNNNNNNNNNNNNNNNNNNNNNNNNNNNNNNNNNNNNNNNNNNNNNNNNNNNNNNNNNNNNNNNNGAAAAACAACAAAUGAUGUUAGAACAUGUUGGAAAUUGAUGACGUCGCUUUGCAUGCUGUAUACUGAAUACAAAAGAAGUCCGGAGUUCAAAUAAGUUAUUAAAACAUUGAAGUGGCCGUGUAACAGAUGAGUUCUCGUCCGAAACCCUGAUACUCCGAAAGAGUUUGUCCAGUUUAUACACGAAGUGCGUCCAGUUUUUGCCGUGACCCUCUCUACUCUUUCGCGCAUGCUAUGCGGGUGAUAUGAUGAUACCAUGCCAAGUUUCAACAUUUUUAGGAUUCAUUUUGUAGUGAUUUUCAAUUUCAUGGCCAUUUAGCUCUCUAAACAAUUAGGUAAAUGACCGAAAAACAACAAAUGAUGUCAGAAUAUGUUGGAAAUUGAUGACGUCGCUUUGAAUGCUGCAUACUGAACACGAAAGAAUCCGGAGUUCAAAUAAGUUAUUAAAAAUAAAAAAGAGGUGCAAUGCUGGUUAAUUUGCUUCAAGCCAUUCGGAAUAAUGUAGACUGCACUGUACAUAGCUCAGUGCAAUCUAUGCUAUUCCGCAAGGCUUGAAGCUAAUCAACAUGCAGGUGAGCAUUGCAACUCUUCGUCAUUGUCUGUGCACUCAUGGCUUAUAAAUCGCUCAUACUACCUCUCUCUUGACGAGGUGGGACUAAAAAUCAGCUUACAAAGAAACUAUAGUACCGGUUCAUGGCAUGAACCGGUACUAAAGGUCUUCGUGGGGGCCCCAGCCUGACCAUAGCCUGACACAGCCUCAUUAGUACCGGUUCGUGGCAUGAACCGGUACUAAAGGUUGCCCACGAACCGGUACUAAUGAUGCCCGCCCGCCUAGUCGUUGGAACCGGCACUAAUGAUCACAUUAGUGCUGGCUCAAAUUCAAACCGGCACUAAUAUGCUUCACAUUUGAACUUUUUU